UGACCUAUGUUCUUAUAUAAAUAUGUAGGUCUCAUGCAGACUAUUUGGGCAUUACCUAAAAAUUCUUCCAGACCAUCUGUUUGAUGCAGUUUCCAAGUUACUAGGCUUUACUUACUGCCAAAAUCAAAUUAAUGGUUUCUGUACCAACGUAACAACUCUGCGUUGCAUCCUUGUGUGGGCUGUAAGUAACAACAGAGGGUAUUAAAGUGCUUUGGUACUUUAUGCUUUGUUAAAACCUUAGUCCAUACUUUAAUGCCAGCCACCAGCACCCUGGAUUAGGUUGGUAUAGGACGUAGAUUAGACGUUUCAAACAGGAUUUAGGGUUAUUGUUUCAGUAUGUGCUCCUCAGGCUCCAGGAGAAAGUCCCCAGACCUGCAGCUGCAACAGCUAGCUGUUGAGAUUGUUUUCUCAGAAUGCUUAGGUACCAUCAUUGGGAAGAGGAAUGGCUCCAGGCUCAGCAGUCUAGAGAAACAAAGAUCUCAAGAGCUGAAGAUCUGAUACAUGAUUGAUCCAGCAAAGAUAAGGCACAGAAUGGUUAUCAACACUCCUAUGGUUAAACUCUUAUUAUCUGCAACAAAACACAUUGAGUUAACUUCUAUCAAGAGCCAUCUUUACUGAAAUGUGUUGUGUAUAUGGAGGAGGACAUUGCUGCCUGGCCCGGGUUUCUAACUGCAAUGCAGCGAGCUGCUAAACUUGACCAUGUAUCUUGAAAAUAAAGGCAGGCAAAGAAAGGCAAAGAAAAGAACCCGCCAGGACCACUGUGCCUUCAGUUAUGCAAGAAAAUUGAUGCACUCAGCCUGCCUUGGUUUUACUUCACUAAAUUUUCAGGAACAAGAGUCUCUCUACGCUCCUAAGGCUGUAAAGCUUUGUCAGCCCACUUGAACACUCCUAGCCAGCAAGGGCUUGCACUAGGCUGCAUACUGAUUUUUCCACUGCUCAGGUCCGCCAGCUCUAAGAGGAACCAGUUGCUGGAAGAACACGCGAAACUGGAGUCAGGGCUGAGGAAACCCUCCCUUUGACAUCACACCUGCACUGUCUAUAAAGAUCCAGUCCUCAGUGUUCUGGUGGUUUUAAUCUGAGUUAAGGAACAACUAGCAAGACCUGAUUUACCAAAUGCUCCCUUGCAGAACAAGAGAGAUCCAAAGAACUGGAGCCCAUCGUUAACAUCAGCCUGUUCCCGCUGCGCAGAGCAGAAGGAGCCGGCAGACUCGUGGCUCUUUCUUCAGGAGGUGUCUCAGUCCCAAACACCCAUUAAAAAAAAAGGCUGCUUUUUAUUUCCUUUUGCUACCACCCAAGCAGUGGCUACAUGUCUAAUACAGAGGGUAAA